AUUGAACGCUGGCGGCAGGCCUAACACAUGCAAGUCGAACGAGUGGCGGACGGGGGAGUAAUGUCUGGGAAACUGCCCGUGGGAGGGGGAUAACUACUGGAAACGGUAGCUAAUACCGCAUACCAUCUGAUGUGCCCAGAUGGGAUUUGCUAGUAGGUGGGGUAACGGCUCACCUAGGCGACGAUCCCUCGCUGGUCUGAGAGGAGGACCAGCCACACUGGAACUGAGACACGGUCCAGACUCCUACGGGAGGCAGCAGUGGGGAAUAGUGCACAAUGGGCGCAAGCCUGAUGCAGCCAUGCCGCGUGUAUGAAGAAGGCCUUCGGGUUGUAAAGUACUUUCAGCGAGGAGGCGUUACCCGCAGAAGAAGCACCGGCUAACUCCGUGCCAGCAGCCGCGGUAAUUC
rnacentral:rRNA from 1 species